UUUAUGGAGAGUUUGAUCCUGGCUCAGGAUGAACGCUGGCGGCGUGCCUAAUACAUGCAAGUCGAGCGAACUGACGAGGAGCUUGCUCCUUUGACGUUAGCGGCGGACGGGUGAGUAACACGUGGGUAACCUACCUAUAAGACUGGAAUAACUCCGGGAAACCGGGGCUAAUGCCGGAUAACAUAUCGAACCGCAUGGUUCGAUAGUGAAAGACGGUCUUGCUGUCACUUAUAGAUGGACCCGCGCCGUAUUAGCUAGUUGGUGAGGUAACGGCUCAUCAAGGCAACGAUACGUAGCCGACCUGAGAGGGUGAUCGGCCACACUGGAACUGAGACACGGUCCAGACUCCUACGGGAGGCAGCAGUAGGGAAUCUUCCGCAAUGGGCGAAAGCCUGACGGAGCAACGCCGCGUGAGUGAUGAAGGUCUUCGGAUCGUAAAGCUCUGUUGUUAGGGAAGAACAAAUCUGUAAGUAACUGUGCACAUCUUGACGGUACCUAACCAGAAAGCCACGGCUAACUACGUGCCAGCAGCCGCGGUAAUACGUAGGUGGCAAGCGUUAUCCGGAAUUAUUGGGCGUAAAGCGCGCG
rnacentral:rRNA from 1 species